rnacentral:rRNA from 1 species
UGCCAGCCGCCGCGGUAAUACGGAGGGGGCGAGCGUUGUUCGGAAUUACUGGGCGUAAAGCGCACGUAGGCGGACUGAUCAGUUGGGGGUGAAAUCCCGAGGCUUAACCUCGGAGCUGCCUUCAAUACUGUCAGUCUUGAGAUCGGAAGAGGUGAGUGGAAUUCCUAGUGUAGAGGUGAAAUUCGUAGAUAUUAGGAAGAACACCAGUGGCGAAGGCGGCUCACUGGUCCGAUACUGACGCUGAGGUGCGAAAGCGUGGGGAGCGAACAGGAUUAGAUA